rnacentral:rRNA from 1 species
AUUGAACGCUGGCGGCAGGCUUAACACAUGCAAGUCGAGCGGAGCGAGGGUGCUUGCACCUUAGCUUAGCGGCGGACGGGUGAGUAAUGCUUAGGAAUCUGCCUAUUAGUGGGGGACAACAUUCCGAAAGGAAUGCUAAUACCGCAUACGCACUACGGGGGAAAGCAGGGGAUCUUCGGACCUUGCGCUAAUAGAUGAGCCUAAGUCGGAUUAGCUAGUUGGUGGGGUAAAGGCCUACCAAGGCGACGAUCGGGAGCGGGUCUGAGAGGAUGGUCCGCCACACGGGACUGAGACGCGGCCCAGACUCCUACGGGAGGCAGCAGUGGGGAAUAUUGGACAAUGGGCGGAAGCCUGAUCCAGCCAUGCCGCGUGUGUGAAGAAGGCCUUUUGGUUGUAAAGCACUUUAAGCGAGGAGGAGGCUCUUAAGGUUAAUACCCUUGAUGAGUGGACGUUACUCGCAGAAUAAGCACCGGCUAACUCUGUGCCAGCCGCCGACGUAAAAC